rnacentral:ncRNA from 1 species
UGAAUCCGCGCGGGAGAGUCCCCGGCCAUGGUCGUCGGGGCGCCGAAGGAGCAAGUCCCUCCCUUGAAUCUCUCAGGCCCCGUUACCGCGCGGGCGAG